UCUCCAGGAGUGUGCAUGUGAACUUGGCUGCAGCCCUGAUACUGUUGAACGGCCACUUCCUACCCAGCUCUUGGGUGGCGUCUCUGGCGGCCCCUGCUGGCUGUGUGUAUGUUGCGCUGGCGCUGCACUACUCCCUCUUGGCCACAUUGGCCUGGAUGGCAGUAGAGGGCUUUCACCUCUACAUGCUGCUGGUCAGAGUGUUCAAUAUCUACAUCAGGAGAUACUUGCUGAAGCUGGCUCUGUUCGCAUGGGGUACGCCUGCUGUGGUGGUAUUGCUGGUCUACAUCAUUGACAGAGAUGCCUAUGGACUCCCCACUGCCUCCAACAGCACACUAGAAAUGUGCUACGUGCAUAACGAUGCUGUGAAGUGGGCGAGUGUGUGUGCGCCGGUGGCCUUGCUCUUCCUCUGCAACGGUGCCGUGCU